UUUGGUUUGUCACGUGUGGUUGGCUGCGGCGUUUGCAACAACUUCCAUGCUUUCAGACCUCUUCAGUUGUGCGGCAAGGCUUGUAUCGCCUUGCUGUAUUGUGGGUUUUCUGUGUUGAAUACCUAAUCAAUGGUAUCGGUUGGAUUGAUCAAUGUUUCAUUUCGUCUGUCGUCGCAUUCGCGGCGUGAGACGAACCUCGAUGCGGUCUCUUUGGCCCACCUCGUCGAAGCACAUGCUUUGACGUUGUGGCACAUUGAGCAUUGCUUGGUCUCUUGUAUACGGAACAUAUAGUGGGCAUGGAUCUAACGAUUCUUGUUUGCCCUCAUGUUAGCGUAACGCUUCUCUUACACGACUUGCUCCACGUUUUAG
rnacentral:misc_RNA from 3 species